rnacentral:rRNA from 1 species
GCUUACUAACCUGUAACUGACGCUGAGGCACGAAAGCGUGGGGAGCGAACAGGAUUAGAUACCCUGGUAGUCCACGCUGUAAACUAUGAUCACUCGCUGUUGGCGAUACACUGUCAGCGGUUAAGCGAAAGCAUUAAGUGAUCCCACCUGGGGAGUACGUCCCGCAAGGAUGAAACUCAAAGGAAUUGACGGGGGCCCGCACAAGCGGAGGAACAUGUGGUUUAAUUCGAUGAUACGCGAGGAACCUUACCUGGGCUUAAAUGCAGAUCGAUUGGCCGGGAAACUGGCCUUCCUUCGGGCGAACUGCAAGGUGCUGCAUGGUUGUCGUCAGCUCGUGCCGUGAGGUGUCGGGUUAAGUCCCAUAACGAGCGCAACCCCUAUUGUUAGUUACCAGCGAGUAAUGUCGGGGACUCUAACGAAACUGCCGGUGUAAACCGAGAGGAAGGUGGGGAUGACGUCAAAUCAGCACGGCCCUUAUGUCCAGGGCUACACACGUGUUACAAUGGCCAGUACAAAAGGCAGCUACCAUGCGAAUGGAUGCUAAUCUCUAAAGCUGGUCUCAGUUCGGAUUGAAGUCUGCAACUCGACUUCAUGAAGGUGGAUUGCUAGUAUGCGCA